rnacentral:rRNA from 1 species
CGAGAGUUUGAGUCCUGGCGUCAGGAUGAACGCUGGCGGCGUGCCUAACACAUAGCAAGUCGAACGGGGCGUAUGCAGCGGAAGCUUUCGGGCGGAAGCAGCAUACAGCCUAGUGGCGGACGGGUGAGUAACGCGUGGGUAACCUGCCCUGUACAGGGGGACAACAGCUGGAAACGGCUGCUAAUACCGCAUAAGCCCGCGGUGCCGCAUGGCGCUGCGGGGAAAACUCCGGUGGUACAGGAUGGGCCCGCGUCUGAUUAGCUAGUUGCGGGGUAACGGCCUACCAAGGCAGCGAUCAGUAGCCGGCUUGAGAGAGUGGACGGCCACAUUGGGACUGAGACACGGCCCAGACUCCUACGGGAGGCAGCAGUGGGGAAUAUUGCACAAUGGGGGGGAACCCUGAUGCAGCAACGCCGCGUGGGCGAAGAAGUAUUUCGGUAUGUAAAGCCCUAUCAGCAGGGAAGAAAGUGACGGUACCUGACUAAGAAGCUCCGGCUAAAUACGUG